UACGUAGGCAGCGAGCGUUGUUCGGAAUUACUGGGCGUAAAGAGUGUGUAGGCGGUGUUCCCAGUCUGUUAUGAAAUCUCCCGGCUUAACUGGGAGGGUGCAGCGGAAACUAGAAUGCUAGAGGGUGGGAGAGGUAAGCGGAAUUCCUGGUGUAGCGGUGAAAUGCGUAGAUAUCAGGAGGAACACCUGUGGUGUAGACAGCUUACUGGACCACUUCUGACGCUGAGACACGAAAGCGUGGGUAGCAAACAGG
rnacentral:rRNA from 1 species